rnacentral:rRNA from 1 species
GCAAUAGCUGAUUGCAUUUAAUUUAAUGUAGUUACUACUUGGUAGUUUAAAUUUCUAGGUAGAAUUAUGAUGAUGACAUUAUCUACCUAUUAGUCUUGACCAAAUUACGUGCCAGCAGUCGCGGUAAUACGUAGAAGACAAGUGUUAUUCAUCUUUAUUAGGUUUAAAGAGUACCAAGACGGUUAAUAAAGCCCAAAAGAAAUGAAUACGGGGGACACAUUAACUAGAGUUAUAUGAAAGGAAGCUAUAAGGUACUGUUGAGUGUAGAGAUGAAAUUUUAUGAUACCAGAUAAUUGGCACAGAUUUAUGCGAAGGCAUCUUCUUAUGUAAUAACUGACGUUGUAGGACGAAGGCUUAGGAAGUGAACAGGAUUAGGUACCCCAGUAAUCUAGGCAGAAAAUGAUGAAUGUCAUAGGUUAUUAACAAUACUUCUUCUGUUGUAUUUGAGUAGGUAUAUUAUAAUGUAUAAAUGUAAGUGUAAGCAUUUUUAAUAUAUAUACAGCAUAAUUACACUGUAUUAUGGUCUAUAAAUGAAAGUGUAAGCAUUCCACCUCAAGAGUAAUUUGGCAACAUUGGAACUGAAAUCAUUAGACCGUUUCUGAAACCAGUAGUGAAGUAUGUUGUUUAAUUAGAUGAUACACAAAAACCUUACCACAAUUUGAAUAUAUAUAAAAUAUAUUUACNAGCGCUGCACGGCUGUCUACAGUUAAUGUCGUGAGACUAUGGUUAGCUCCAUUAAAUUGACGAAAACCCAAAUUAUAUUUAUAAAUAUAAU